AUUGAACGCUGGCGGCAGGCCUAACACAUGCAAGUCGAACGAGUGGCGGACGGGUGAGAAAGGUCUGGGAAAAUGCCUGAUGGAGGGGGAUAAAUACUGGAAACGGUAGCUAAUACAGCAUACCAUGGGAUGGGCUCAGAUGGGAGUAGCUAGUAGGGGGGGUAAAGGCUCACCUAGGCGACGGUCCCUACCUGGUCUGAGAGGAGGACCAGCCACCCUGGAACUGAGACACGGUCCAGACUCCUACGGGAGGCAGCAGUGGGGAAUAUUGCACAAUGGGCGCAAGCCUGAUGCAGCCAUGCCGCGUGGAUGAAGAAGGCCUUCGGGUUGUAAAGUACUUUCAGCUGGGAGGCGGUACCCGCAGAAGAAGCACCGGCUAACUCCGUGCCAGCAGCCGCGGUAAUAC
rnacentral:rRNA from 1 species